UCGAGGAUCUUCGGCAAUGGGCGCAAGCCUGACCGAGCGACGCCGCGUGUGCGAUGAAGGCCUUCGGGUUGUAAAGCACUGUCGAGGGGGAGGAAGGCCGUAAAAUCGGCUUGACCUAUCCCUGGAGGAAGCACGGGCUAAGUUCGUGCCAGCAGCCGCGGUAAGACGAACCGUGCAAACGUUGUUCGGAAUCACUGGGCUUAAAGGGCGCGUAGGCGGGCCAGCCAGUCUGUGGUGAAAUCCUCCAGCUUAACUGGAGAAGUGCCGUGGAUACUGCUGGCCUCGAGGAGGGUAGGGGCAUCUGGAACGGUCGGUGGAGCGGUGAAAUGCGUUGAUAUCGACCGGAACUCCGGUGGCGAAGGCGAGGUGCUGGACCCUUUCUGACGCUGAUGCGCGAAAGCCAGGGGAGCAAACGG
rnacentral:rRNA from 1 species